rnacentral:tRNA from 1 species
GGUGCUGUGGCUCAAGUGGUAGAGCACUUACCUUGCAUGCCACAGGCCCUGGGUUCGAUUCCUCAGCACCA